GUUCGGCUAACGACCCUCCACCAGUCAAGCAAGCGGUGGGUGAGAGUGGACACCCAUUAAGUUGCCAUUUUAUAGGCAACAACCUUAUACCCACCUUAUAGACCGGCUUCGUGAAUGAGGCGUACUAGCGGUAAGACUGACUUUACUCUUAUACAUAUAUAUAUUAUUAACUUAUAAUAUUAUAAAGUAUAAGGGUUGAAUUUUAACUUUUAAAAUUCUAAGGGCUAACUUGGAAUUAAAGUAUUCAUACUUGAAAACUUUUCAAAUUCCAAAACUUGAGGGCAAGUUUUGAAACUAUUCAAAACUAAUUAAUUCCAUAACUUAUGUGUUUAAAGUAGUUUUAAUCCAAAAACUCUUCAAGUUCCAUAACUUGAGGACAAGUUAUGGAAGACUUUAAACUAAUAAAAGAACUAACUUUUUCUUUAUUUUAUAACUUAUGGAUUUAAUUAUGGUUACAUAUUUUUCUUUAAUGAAGUGACUCUUGAACUUCCAUAACUUGAGGACAAGUUAUGGAGUCAAAAAAAAUUAUUCAAUGACACAAGACUCUUCAUUUUGUAACCAUUGCCAACUUUUAUGAGUUUUAUGAGUCUUUAAUGUGACUCUUCAUGUAACUUGAGGACAAGUUACACAAACACAUUUUAUACUCAACUCUUAGAUUAAAAUGGAUUGAAAACAACUAUUUCACUCAACAUUUCUAUUAAUCUAAGCAACUCAUAAGAACAAGAUAAUUCAAAUCAAACUUUUUCAUGUAAUUAGUCUAAACCUUAAACUAAUACAAAACAUGAAUCUAUUGACAAUUAUCUUUGAAAAUGGAUUAGCAUGAACAUUACCACAUCAAAAACAAGUUUAUAAGUUCAAAAACAACUUAGGGUAAUGUUCCUAGUCCAUUUCUAGCCAAAAAACUCGAAAAUAUGCUGUCUGGGGGUCCAACUCGUCGAGUGCAUGAACAAACUCGGCGAGUUGGAUCGAAUUCAUCACUUUUUAGGCAUGGACUCGUCGAGUCUCCUGAUGGACUCGCCGAGUCUGAUGGCCAGACAGCACCAGAUUCGUUUUUUCAGCUUCUAUUGCAGGUAUAACAAGAAAACAAGCCUAGGCUCUGAUACCACUGUUGGGUUUUGAGCAUUCUAACACUCCUAAGUGUACAUGCAACCCUAAAUACCUUGGAUCUAUGUUUUCUCUAUUAUACAUGCAAAUAAGAACUUCCAAGGUAUUAUCCUAAUCUAGCAUACAAAACAAUGACUAUAACAAGAUAGAAUACAUACCUCUUUGAUGUAGAAAGUCUUCAUGAAGCUUGAGUGCCUAGUGCCCCAAGUGUGACACCUCAAAUGGAAUCACAAUCAUCAAAACACUUGGAAUGACUUGAGAGAAUUCUACACUCUUCAAAAUCGGCUAGCCCUUUCUUCACUAUCACUAGUGGCCGAUUUUUCCUCAAUAAUAAGAUGCUUAUAUAGUUACACAAUUAGGGUAAACUCUUAAUUGUCAUGGCUUUCCAUUUCCUUGGAUCCAUGGGUACAAAUACACCAUGGAGCAUCCAUGGACCAUCCUAUGGGUUUUAGCCCAACUUGAUUAUCCAUGGAGCAUUAGCCCACUAUACAAGUAUGGAUGAUUUACACAAUCAACCCAUAUAUUUAAUUAGUCUUCUUUUGAUCACUUAAUUAAUCCUAGAUUAAUUCUUGAUCAAUACUAAUUAAAUAAUCUUAUUAUUCUUAUUAUUAAUAUACUAGAACUUAUAAUAUAUUAAUAACCAUAAGUGUCUUAUUUCUCUCAUUAUAGUCUAUCCAAGUGCAUGAUGGUAUGCAACCCAAAUGGACCAUGCCGGGUCGGGUCAAGUCUUACCAAUUAUAGUUAUGGACUUAGACAUUAAUCCAACAGUCUCCCACUUGGAUAAGUCUAAAACUAUUAUUGCGUAUGACUUCAGGAACCAACUGGCAAUCGUAGCUCUCAAAAGCUUCUGUCGAACUCUGACCUUGUAGAUGAACUCUGACCUUUGUCAAUGACUUGUCCAUUAGAUAAGGGAUCAUAUAUUCCUCCAUUCUAGAUAUCAUAUGGACUGAGACAUGGAUUAUAAUCAUUCUCUCUGUCCAUUUGUUGUUUCCCGAUUUCCGAUUUAUGACGACUGACUAAUUGAACAAAUCAAAUCAGUCCUGGCCCGGCCGAGCACUUCCAUUUGUCAUCAUCAAAUCAUCGAGGGGCCCACAGAUAUCGCUUUUAUCCCGAAGGUAAAAGGAAUGGAUAAACUUCGACUCAUAUGGCUUGUUCUACUACUUGUUGAAUCAUACACAAAGGCACGUUUUAUAGCACCGAGUUACCAAAUGCGUUUUCGUGCAAUCAAUGUACUAUCAACUCAUAGUAACAACUCAUAUCUCUAGGUUUGAAGAAUAUAAGAUAUUAUCGUCUCAUGAUCACUCGUGAUAAAAUCCAUGAAGUGAUUCCAAUGAGCGCGGGUUGAAUCCAAUACUCAGAACUUAUGAGCACUCAUGAGUGUUGUAGCCCUUUGUCCAACACCUUAGACCUCUACAAGCCAACCCAUGACAGUCUUAAUUCAUAUCUACUUCCAACAUAUGACCGACUGUGGAUGGUUUGAAUAACUUAGUCAUUCCGGAAGAAUAACCCAGUUUAUUCGGGAAGUCAAAACAUGCAAAAUGAAACACAAUAAUAAUUGAAUCCAAUAUGGUAUCAACCCUUUGAACAUAAAUAAAACACCUUUUAUUUAUCACCAUAUGAUUACACAUUAUUCAUUGUAUACUGUUUCAGCUAUCAACUUUAUUCUUGAAUUUAAAACAAUAGUUGUCCCAUGCUCCAAGCAUGUACACUAUGUUUUCUUAAACACUAGUCAUGCCACACACCAAGUAUGCAUACUAUGUUUGUCUAUGAUCUUUACUUUGUGAACUAGAUCAAUUGAACAUAACUUCAAUGAUUCUCUUUUCACACUCCCAAAUCCUUACUGCAAAUGCAAGAAUUCCAAAUUCAUGCCAUUUACUGAAAUCUGUUAGAUUCUAAACUUAUAUGCAUUGAUCCUCUUGUAAUGAUUAUGCACAAAGUCACAAAGACUUGGCAACAAUCAUUACAGAGUAUUCCAAAGGAGAUCAACUCCUUGGAAAUAUCCUUCUUGCAUUAAGUUUCCUUAAUCUUACACAGAUUGAAAAUUCUAACUUUGAAACAUUUCCAGAUUCCAUUUUGACUAUCACUUCUGAACAAGAGUUGCCUCCUUACAGAUUAUGUCAAUAUGGUCCUUCCAGAAUUAUCACUAUACUUCCAAUUGUCCUUGAGUAACCAAUCUUUGGUAAACCUUAGAUUGUCCUCGACAAUUGUUUAAUCCUUUUAGUCAUAUCCAGUUCUAAACCUUUUCCCUUCUUAAUGCCCCAGGCAUUUGGAAAAUUUUAGAACGGAUGAAUAUAGCACAUGUAAUCGAUCCUAUAUCCGAAGCAUAUGGGACACGAUUCAUGAUGUCUUACAUAAAGACUAAACCAGUCUUUUGCUAUAAUAUUUCCAUUUCAAUUUGCCAAGUUCUCAUAAUUCAGAUUAUGAAAAGGGAUGCCGUAAUCAUAAUCGAAUUUUAGAACGCAAAUAAUGGACCCAUAUACAGAAUUUCCUUAUGUUGAGCCAUUCCAACAUGAAAUUCAUAUAUAUCCUUGACUAAAUGAUUAAAACCUCACGAUCUAAGCUUAUAGAUUUGAGAUGAAGCAUAAUUUCCUCUCCCUUAAUUAUAGCAAAACAACUUUUUCCCAAUUGAAACUUUUGUUUUCUAUAAUUAACAUUGCUAACUUGCAAUACUUAUCAUAAUUAUCAUGCUCCCACUAACAUGAUGAUUAUUAGCAUAACACUUAUGCUCCCACUAGCUUUGACAUGUACUCAGAAAUCAGCUGGACAGUCUGAAAUUUAGAUUCAUACACCCUUUCCGUAGAUAGCUCACCUGUGUGUCUAAGCAAUUUCAAGAACCAUGAAAAGGGAUACCGUAAUCAUGGUCUCAAUUGCUUAGGCAUUUGCCAUUUCUCACAAGUCCAUGUUAGUGUGCCGGUUAACCACACGCGCUCCACUAACGACUUUUGAAAAUGCAAAUAACACAAUUGAUAUCUUCGUAAAAUCUACUUAGUGAAAGCGUUUCCUCACCAUCAUUUUCAUGAAUCGGAGAGAAACCUUAUGACACUUAGAUUUAUAUGGUGUAUGAGUUCCUACCCAUAUGAAUUUGUCAAACCAUAAUCACAAGACAAAGAUAAUGACAAAUCCAAAACCAUAUGGAUUGAACUCAAUCUUAACUUCUUGCCACCUGGCAGCUCAAGGGCCUGCCAUUGCUUCCAAGUUGUUGUGCAACAAAUUGAGAACUCUAAGAACUCAUAUGCAAAACCAACUUUAACUGGAAUGGGCACAGAAUAUGUCAACACGAUAGGUUAUGAACCUCAAGUCGUGUGCUAGUGAAGAACUUUAGGUUUUAUUCUUGAUUAUUUCUUGAGACUUUCAAGACCUUUAAGACUCCCACUGUCCUCUUGACAUAUAAGACUCCCUUGUCAAACAUCCAAGAGAUAGUGCGGAUUCUAAUCAAGAAAAACACUUUACCCAAUUGGCCUAAGUUGGUCUUUGUUUUAUCCAAAACAUCACAACUUACCAAUUUCAAAUGUACAAGAGUAGAAAACUUUUACUCUUACAUUUGACAAGUGUUUUAAACCUUCUUUAAGACAUGUCACUCAAAUGACAAUCUUGGAGUAUGACUCUAAGACUUGUAUUGGAACGAAGUAUGACUCAUCUUCUUGAUUUAACCAUUUCAACAAUUCAAGUUCCUCUUCUUAGUCAUAAGAAUGCACUAAGAUUUCCUUAGAGAACUAAUUUUGAUAUGGUUUCUUAAUCAUUAAGAUGAUCACAAAACUGAUACUAAAGUACUCUCCCAUCUUUUCAGAUUUGAGAAACUUUUAUCCUUCUGCCUUAUUUGAUUCUUCUUAUCGAUCUUUAGUGGUGGACUUAAUCAGUGCACAAGAAUGUGUACUCGAUCCCUAAGUCCUUUACUUGACUCACACAUCCAUGUGAACAAGUAAUUAGUCUUAAUUUUCCAAAACUUGAAAGUUCUCAUUCAUCAUGCUAUACAACUUGCAUGAUUCCAAGUUCCGGUCCAAUUGAAACUUGGGUGAUGAGAAUCUUUCCUUAUUUGGUAAAUUUAGACAUUACCACAAAUGAAAGAAUCAAUUUCAUACUUCCACUCUUGCUACUAAUGGAAUCUUAUAAGCAACAAAAAUUUCCACAGAUGCCAUUGUAAGGAUAUUUUAAAAUAAAUAAAAUCAAAAAUUUCCUUUUAUUUUAAAACUUUGCGGAAAAACUAUCCUUACAAUCCAUAUGAAAACUUGUUGUUAUCUAUUCCUAAGCAAUAUCUCAUAACUCCUAAGAAGUAGCUCAAGAAUCCGAUUUUUCAAACUAUGCGAUAGAAAUCCAUCUAUGCGAUCAGAUUCAGCAUAUUCUUCCUUUAAGUUUCUUCACUUUCCUUUGAUUCUUAAACCAUCACCAUGUGACCCAGUCACAUCAUGUAUCAAGAAUCUCAGAAUAGAAACUUAACAGAGUUAGAUAGUGGAUUUUACCUGAAGUAGAGUCAAACUUAUUGACUUUAACAUCCUUAGGUAAAUUUGGCAGCUUCGCAACCAAUGCCCUUUCUUUGGCAAUACAAACAUAUGGACCCUUUGAUAAUGGUACACAGGACUAUCACAGACUUAGCUUUUCUCUUUACCAUUUGGUCAACCGAGUUGACUAUAGCCGAUCCCUUUCCAUUGGGAAGAGAAUGCUUUACUGGAUAUCCAAUGUCAUCAUUGUCAAUGUCCAUAAAGUUUUAGGAAGUUGAUCUUAGCAAAUAGAUAAGAUCAUUAAGGGUCUUGUCAUAGUCUGUUUCAUAGGUGUCCCAAAGGAACUCACUAUGUGACUUAGAAAGUGGUUGAACCACCAACUUUCUCAAGACUUUGACACCCAACUCUCCCGGCUUGUCAAUAUGUGACUACAUCUCCAAGAUGUGACCACACCUAGACCUUGCCUUGCCAAUAGGGCCUGAGUGACCUUAAACUUUUCAAGAACUUGUGGGUUAGGGAGAAUAAUUUGAAGAGGUGAAGAAGUAUGAUAUCCAUGGGACAUCAUCUUCAUUAGGAAACCUUGUUUCAAGAGAUUUGGGAAGAUCAUAGGUGUCUAAACCAGACAUCUUUUGGGAGAUAUUCAAGAUAGUUGAUUUAAAGUCCUUAAUAUGACACCCAAUAUGAAAUAUUAAGGCUAGGACCCAACAAACUAUUUUAUAACUUAGAAGAGGUAUGCCGUAAUCCAAGCUAUAAAAUAUUUGAAGGUAGGUGAAUGACGAUUCACCAAUUUCCACCAAGAUAAACGAAAUGUAUUAUUAGGUUUUAAUUGGUUUUGAAACUCCUAGAUCUUUGAGAUUCAUUGAACUUUUCAAAGGCAUGUUUCAAUCUCGAGUGUGCCCUUCAGGUUUUGUGACUGGGAUGCCGAGGAUCACAAAACAAGGUGUGAAGUAACCAUGCAAAUCACUUGGUACCCUUAAUAAAUUACCCCUCAAUCGAUGUGCCGGUUAACCACACACGCUCCAUCGAUACUAUGAUAAAUAUUAAGUCACCCUUUACCUACCUUGUUAAGUCCAAGUUAGUGUGCCGGUUAACCACACACGCUCCACUAACGACUUAGACAAAGUGUAAAGUGUAAUUUCAUGGAUUAGCACCUUAUUCACAUUUUUCCUAAGUAACUAAGAUUGGGUAUUAUUAAGAGUUUAGUUACUUAGUAUUAUCAUUAAUACUUUUAAUGAAGGGAGAAUUCUAGUCCUGUCAAACCCGUUCGGCUAACGACCCUCCACCAGUCAAGCAAGCGGUGGGUGAGAGUGGACACCCAUUAAGUUGCCAUUUUAUAGGCAACAACCUUAUACCCACCUUAUAGACCGGCUUCGUGAAUGAGGCGUACUAGCGGUAAGACUGACUUUACUCUUAUACAUAUAUAUAUAUUAUUAACUUAUAAUAUUAUAAAGUAUAAGGGUUGAAUUUUAACUUUUAAAAUUCUAAGGGCUAACUUGGAAUUAAAGUAUUCAUAAGAGAAAACUUUACAAAUUCCAAAACUUGAGGGCAAGUUUUGAAACUAUUCA
rnacentral:lncRNA from 1 species